rnacentral:rRNA from 1 species
CUUGACAUCCAGAGAACUAGCAGAGAGGCUUUGGUGCUUUCGGGAACUCUGAGACAGGUGCUGCAUGGCUGUCGUCAGCUCGUGUUGUGAAAUGUUGGGUUAAGUCCCGCAACGUAGCGCAACCCUUAUCCUUUGUUGCCAGCGGUUCGGCCGGGAACUCNAAGGAGACUGCCAGUGAUAAUACUGGAGGAAGGUGGGGAUGUACGUCAAGUCAUCAUGGCCCUUACGAGUAGGGCUACACACGUGCUACAAUGGCGCAUACAAAGAGAAGCGACCUCGCGAGAGCAAGCGGACCUCAUAAAGUGCGUCGUAGUCCGGAUUGGAGUCUGCAACUCGACUCCAUGAAGUCAGAAUCGCUAGUAAUCGUAGAUCAGAAUGCUACGGUGAAUACGUUCCCGGGCCUUGUACACACCGCCCGUCACACCAUGGGAGUGGGUUGCAAAAGAAGUAGGUAGCUUAACCUUCGGGAGGGCGCUUACCACUUUGUGAUUCAUGACUGGGGUGAAGUCGUAACAAGUAACCGUAGGGGAACGUGGCGGUUGGAUCACCUCCUUACAACAGAUGAUUCGCGAGACC